rnacentral:rRNA from 1 species
UAAAAACUUAUUUAUUUUAGGUAGUAACAGAUUUCUUGAAACCUAAAGAAUUUGGCGGUAUUUUAAAUAAUUAGAGGAACCUGUUAAUUAAAUGAUAAUCCACAACAUAUCUUACCUUAAUUAAGUUUGUAUACCGUUGUUUUUAGAUUAUAUUUAAAGAUUAUGAUCAAAAUUAAUUAAUUUUUAUAAAUCAAAUCAAGGUGCAGCAUAUUUAGGUUUUAAUGGGUUACAAUAUAUGUAUAUAUACGAAUUUAUUAUGAAAAUGUUUUUUGAAGGUGGAUUUAAAAGUAAUUUAAAAUUAAAAUGUUUAAAUGAAUAAAAAUUUAAAAUAUGC